ensembl:lncRNA
GUGCUUCCUCGGAGCAUCACAUGGCAGGCAGAUCUCAAUAUGCAUAUUUACGGCUGGCUUGCAACCUCCGCUGCAUCCUUUCUGUGCAUGGUAACGAGGUGCUUUUCUUCUGCCAUGAGACCUACACGUGUCACGCUCGCUUGUGGCAUCGUCCUCAUUGCAGUUCCACGUGGAAGAGCAGAGCCUCCCAUGCCCAGACCCUCCUGCUUGGCCGCUGCCUGAGGAUGCGUGUCUUGCCAAGGUUUUGCCUUAAGCAGAGGAAGGAUGAAAAAUGCAGGGCCAGAGACUUUCUUACAGCUGAAAACCGCUGUCUGCUGCGCUGCUCCUCGGGACAGCACCGAGCAGGGAAACGCCUCCGCCACCCAGCAGUCAUUCUCUUCAUAGUGGGACAAGUGCAGAAUGGUGGAGGGGAAGCUCGGAUGGUGGUCCUGUCCAGGGAGACGCAGCCUCAUGUCUCCCACCCUCCUCCGCUUUGAUGACUGAACAUGUAGGACCGUUCUCAGGACUCGCUGUGCACUUUGCCUCCCGACCUCCUGUUUUGCUGCAGGACCCCACAGAGCACACCCCUGAAAUCAGCCUUGCACAUACAAGGAG